rnacentral:rRNA from 1 species
AUACAUGCAGUCGAGCGGAGUUGAUAAGAAGCUUGCUUCCUUGAUACUUAGCGGCGGACGGGUGAGUAACACGUAGGCAACCUGCCCUCAAGUUUGGGACAACUACCGGAAACGGUAGCUAAUACCGAAUAAUUGUUUUCUUCGCCUGAAGGAAACUGGAAAGACGGAGCAAUCUGUCACUUGGGGAUGGGCCUGCGGCGCAUUAGCUAGUUGGUGAGGUAACGGCUCACCAAGGCGACGAUGCGUAGCCGACCUGAGAGGGUGAUCGGCCACACUGGGACUGAGACACGGCCCAGACUCCUACGGGAGGCAGCAGUAGGGAAUCUUCCGCAAUGGGCGAAAGCCUGACGGAGCAAUGCCGCGUGAGUGAUGAAGGUUUUCGGAUCGUAAAGCUCUGUUGCCAGGGAAGAACGCUUGGGAGAGUAACUGCUCUCAAGGUGACGGUACCUGAGAAGAAAGCCCCGGCUAACUACGUGCCAGCAGCCGCGGUAAUACGUAGGGGGCAAGCGUUGUCCGGAAUUAUUGGGCGUAAAGCGCGCGCAGGCGGUCAUUUAAGUCUGGUGUUUAAUCCCGGGGCUCAACCCCGGAUCGCACUGGAAACUGGGUGACUUGAGUGCAGAAGAGGAGAGUGGAAUUCCACGUGUAGCGGUGAAAUGCGUAGAUAUGUGGAGGAACACCAGUGGCGAAGGCGACUCUCUGGGCUGUAACUGACGCUGAGGCGCGAAAGCGUGGGGAGCAAACAGGAUUAAAUACCCUGGGUAGUCCACGCCCGAAAACGAU